rnacentral:sRNA from 2 species
AUGUUCGGAAACUCUUUUACGCGAACCCGGAGCUGCUUGGGGGUUAGCUUCCAAGUAUGCAUUUCGUUCCGCGAGUCGGCGUUGACGGCCGCGCUCGCAGCACCGGUCGGCGCUACACGGGUAGCGGGCAAGUCAGCGCAGGUGUCUGUGGCGGCACACGAUGCUGCCGUCGCAACUGCUGCGGAUCCCCGUCCCGGUGUUUCCAGCCACCUUGCCCCUGAGACUUGCAACCAUGGUUCGACCUUGGCGCUGUCGAGGACUGACGGCAACCGAGCGACAGAAGGCCCAGGAACGCGUGAAACACGCGAUAUGAUGAGCUCGAGUGCCGCUGGCAGGCGUCGGGCACGCGGACUUACUGCGGUGGCCGCCACACUGAGCUCAUAUACGUCGUCCGUUGCUGCCGACCUUACCGCUCGGCAACCCGCCCAACCCUUUCUGUGGAGUCUGCAGAGGGAUGACACCUUUCCAAGCGUACGGCAGGCCCUGCUGAAGGUGCUAACACGCAAGGACUACUUGAGCGCGUACAGGCACGAGGUGUGUGUGUGUGUGUUCGCCCACUUGACGCUGAGCGGUCUAUCAAGGAUUUUGUUCAUGAAGCUGCCGUCUUCGUCGUCCAAGUCUUCCACGACGCAGGCACGCACCGCGUCGGGAGAAGUCGCCAGCACUGGUGUAGCUCUGGAUUUGGCAGGCGCACCAGCCAUGGGAGCUGCACAGCGCCACGCUCGCAGCACGACAGGGAUUCUAGCAGCCUCAGAGACGGAUGGUGCGGAUUCCUGUGACAUCCUCGUAGCGUCGGCAACCUCGCGGAUCCCGCCACGUCGAGGGGCGAACCUGUCCACUCCCAUGACGACCGAUGGCAGGGCGUCGUAUCCGACACCGUACUCGUGGAAGCAGCACAGAGCGCCUACCACUUCAUGCUUUCCUCCGAGUGCGCGAACACUACUUGCAUCGCCGGCGCUGUGUGCGUCACGGUGGUGA